GUGACGAGGUCCACAGUUGUCUUUUGGUAGAUCUUGAAGGUUCUCGUCUCCCACAGGACCUGCUUCACGAUGUUGACAAUCCGCCACUGACGCUGAAGCUCGGCUGUUUUGAGUCAGGUAGGCAGCAACCUGUUCGGGGAGACAGAGGAAACAACGCGGACACGGACCCGCCUGGCUACAUACAGUGGAAAACCAGUGUUUCCAGUGAACCCCCAUUAGCCAAUCAGUGAGAAGAACACUGCACUUCAUAACGGAGGCCGGAGCGCUUUACGUUCUUUCCUGUUUGUGCUGGGACCUUGAAUGGUAACCAGCAACUCUGUGCCGCUGGGUGAAGAUGAAGAGAUUUGAGAAGGAGCACAGAACUGUGUCCAGGGGCCCAAAUGGAGAGGCUUAUGACUUGCACAACUGGCCCUCGAACCACCUGCUGGGACCCCUGGCCCUCCCCUGCAGGCUGGGGAGUGUGCCGUUUCAGGAGAGGGUGCGAGGCGUGAAUACGGCUUUGUAGUUUCCCCCUGUGCGAUGAAGAUGAGGAUUAAAUCAUUUAAUCCCAGGCAAGGAGUACAGAAAUGGUUGGAGUCCGGCAGUGCUGCAGUUCCCAGCCCUGACCUGAGGCUCAUUACUCUUCCUAAGGCUUUGAGAACCGAGGCCUCCAGAUUUGGUUGAUCGAGCUGCCAGGUGAGAGCCACAGUUCUUCACCAGAGUGACUCCCCGCUAUGGUGACGUGAUCCCGGCAUAUGUGGUCAUGGAGGCCAUUUUGAGGGCUUUGUGUGGUCUCUGGUCCUGGGAGUGUGCUUGGUGCUGUUCCUCAGACCAGCACACCUGCCCGACCUCUCUGUUCUGCUACCUCUGGCCGCCUGGCACCUGCGGUCUGUUCUGGCCCCAUGGUGGUGAAAUGACCUUCCUGUGGAUGUCAGAACGGCAGUGUCUGACCACAUUCAAACGCAGACUGAAGACUCCAUCUCUUCAGGCUGCACCUACCCCCCCCUACCUCUAAUUUACCCAUGUUUGCUGUAAUUAUCACUUCUAGUUGCCAAAACCGUUAUUGCUACUACUUGGCUAACUUAUCGGGAUUAUUCUACAAGGGUUAGUUCUCUGAUCACUCUUGCACUUGGCACUGUACUUCCCUCUAGGGUUUUCGGCGCACUUGUCCCUGGUUCUGAUUUGCAGUUGAUUGUAUGUGAACUCUGGAUAAGAGUGUCUGCUAAAUGACUGAUGUAAUGUUGCUGGGUGGCAAUUUCCUGAAAUGGUUCAGCCUUCACUGUCACUUCACUUCACAGAUCAAUGGCACUCAUAAUAAACACCAAUAAACCACA